rnacentral:misc_RNA from 1 species
GAUAUUAGUUUAAAAGGGGGGAGGUGGAGGAGCAGGAGGAAGUGGUGUUAGGGUGUCUUUUACAGCAACUUAGUAAUAAUAGGUCCGAUGGUAAUGUGGUUUUUAAUGGGCUUAUGGUUUAAAUGGGUUUUUUUUAUGUAUUUUUAUUUUUCAAAAAUUAAGUUUUAAAUAUAUAUUACUUUUGUAUUGAAUAAAUAAUUAUUCAUAAUAAAUUUAUAGAAUUCAAUUUAAAUGAUUUUAAGUUAUAUUUAGUAAGGUAUUAGUAAAUUAAAUAUAUAAUAAAAAUUAAAAUUAUAAUGCAACAGAAAAUUAAGAUGAUCAUUUUAAUAUUAUAUUCGAUUAAAAAUAAAUUAAUGUAAUGUAUUUUAAUGAUAAUUUUCAUUCAUACAUGUAAUUUAAUUGACAAUGGUGGUAGUGC